UUAAGUUCAGCGGGUAAUCCUACCUGAUUUGAGGUCAAUUGGUCAGGUGAAUUGUCCACGAGUGGACGGUUGGAAGCUGGAUAUGCCGACCGAGCCGAGUGUAGAUGACUAUCACACAAGGCUGCAGAUCACACAUUGGUCCCUGCUAAUGCUUUUCAGAGGAGCCGACCCAACCCCAGACGGGGCGCGCCAGCAGAACC
rnacentral:misc_RNA from 1 species